rnacentral:rRNA from 1 species
GACAGAGGGUGCAAACGUUGUUCGGAAUUACUGGGCGUAAAGCGCGUGUAGGCGGCUAAGUAAGUCGGGCGUGAAAUCCCACGGCUCAACCGUGGAAGUGCACUCGAAACUGCAUAGCUAGAGUCCUGGGGAGGAAGGUGGAAUGCUUGGUGUAGAGGUGAAAUUCGUAGAUAUCAAGCGGAACACCGGUGGCGAAGGCGGCCUUCUGGACAGUGACUGACGCUGAGACGCGAAAGCGUGGGGAGCAAACAGG